UGGUGGAGUGAUAUGUCUGCUUAAUUGCGAUAACGAACGAGACCUUAACCUGCUAAAUAGCCAGGCUAGCUUUGGCUGGUCGCCGGCUUCUUAGAGGGACUAUCGGCUCAAGCCGAUGGAAGUUUGAGGCAAUAACA
rnacentral:rRNA from 1 species